ACGAACGCUGGCGGCGUGCUUAACACAUGCAAGUCGAGCGGUAAGGCCCUUUCGGGGGUACACGAGCGGCGAACGGGUGAGUAACACGUGGGUGACCCGCCCUCAGCUCUGGGAUAAGCCUGGGAAACCGGGUCUAAUACUGGAUAUGACUCCAUGACGCAUGUUGUGGGGUGGAAAGCCUUGUGCGGCUGAGGAUGGGCCCGCGGCCUAUCAGCUUGUUGGUGGGGUGAUGGCCUACCAAGGCGACGACGGGUAGCCGGCCUGAGAGGGCGACCGGCCACACUGGGACUGAGACACGGCCCAGACUCCUACGGGAGGCAGCAGUGGGGAAUCUUGCGCAAUGGGCGAAAGCCUGACGCAGCGACGCCGCGUGAGGGAUGACGGCCUGGU
rnacentral:rRNA from 1 species